rnacentral:rRNA from 1 species
CGAGAUUCCCCCAGUAGCGGCGAGCGAACGGGGAGCAGCCCAGAGCCUGAAUCAGCAUGUGUGUUAGUGGAAGCGUCUGGAAAGUCGCAGGGUACAGGGUGAUACUCCCGUACACAAAAGCACAUAUGCUGUGAGCUCGAUGAGUAAGGCGGGACACGUGGUAUCCUGUCUGAAUAUGGGGGGACCAUCCUCCAAGGCUAAAUACUCCUGACUGACCGAUAGUGAACCAGUACCGUGAGGGAAAGGCGAAAAGAACCCCGGCGAGGGGAGUGAAACAGAACCUGAAACCGUGUACGUACAAGCAGUGGGAGCACCCUUGUGGUGUGACUGCGUACCUUUUGUAUAAUGGGUCAGCGACUUAUAUUCUGUAGCAAGGUUAACCGUAUAGGGGAGCCGCAGGGAAACCGAGUCUUAACUGGGCGUUAAGUUGCAGGGUAUAGACCCGAAACCCGGUGAUCUAGCCAUGGGCAGGUUGAAGGUUGGGUAACACUAACUGGAGGACCGAACCGACUAAUGUUGAAAAAUUAGCGGAUGACCUGUGGCUGGGGGUGAAAGGCCAAUCAAACCGGGAGAUAGCUGGUUCUCCCCGAAAGCUAUUUAGGUAGCGCCUCGUGAACUCAUCUCCGGGGGUAGAGCACUGUUUCGGCUAGGGGGCCAUCCCGGCUUACCAACCCGAUGCAAACUGCGAAUACCGGAGAAUGUUAUCACGGGAGACACACGGCGGGUGCUAACGUCCGUCGUGAAGAGGGAAACAACCCAGACCGCCAGCUAAGGUCCCAAAGUCAUGGUUAAGUGGGAAACGAUGUGGGAAGGCACAGACAGCCAGGAUGUUGGCUUAGAAGCAGCCAUCAUUUAAAGAAAGCGUAAUAGCUCACUGGUCGAGUCGGCCUGCGCGGAAGAUGUAACGGGGCUAAACCAUGCACCGAAGCUGCGGCAGCGACACU